CUCUCUAUUUCUGGAUCCGUAUGCUUUCUCUUUUCUGCGUUCUCUCUCUCUCUUCCUGCUUCUUUUUCUUUCCAUGGGGGACGUGAAGUUGACAUAGACUUUUCUAUAUGAGGCUAGCCAAAUAAUGUUAUGUUUCUGCUUGACUCUUAACUUGCGUAUCGUUCUUCCUUGACUUCUCUUAAAUAAGAGAAACUAUUUAUCUUUAUCUUACUUGAAUAGACAACUGAUAUGAAAUUGGGGUUUUGAGUCUAAUAUUUUUCCUGACAGACCUUUAUCGGCUCAUAAACUGGAGAACGAACAAUUAUCGUACCGCCCCUCAUCUAAUAUAAAAUCAAUGAGCAGAUUAGGGAUCAUUCCUCCAUGAUAAUGUAUUCUAAAUGCAGAAGUGGGGCUAAAAAUGGUGAAGUAACAUGCAAAAAGAUGACAGUUGGGGCAUCACUAUCACUUUAAUUGGAUACUACAAAAUACUGGACAAGAUGCACCGUGCUAGAGCGGGCGCGGAUGGAAACUUUGUGGUAAGAUGGAAGGAUCUUGUAGCGAGGAUGUUUCUAGCUAGAUUAACAUUUUUGGAGUUUGUAUCGUAUGACUGUUUGAGUAGCGUAGCACCAGUCAUCAUCUUCAGAUUUCAACUCUGGAAGACCGCCUGUAAUGUGGAGACUAAUAUGGUAUUGGUGAUGUGGAAGGGAAGGAGUGCAUCAAUGCUGGGGUAAGGACGGUUUGUAGCUUAUCUCACCAUGAAGGUCAUGAGAUGACAAUACAUGAUUUUCUAUAUUCUGCUCUACUCUUGAUGAAGCAGUAUCUAGGAUCCUAUGGUAUUUUCAUUGGAGUAACAGAGAAGCAGUGGAAGGCAUUCUCUAGAUUGAGUGUUACCUGGUUCGACUUGCAUCAACCUUUGAAACUAUUUAGUUUUUGUAAUCUCUUUGGAGUUUUUACUUGUAAUCCGACUUCAAACUAUUUAGUUUUUGUAAUCCGCUGAAUGAUGGAAACAAAUACUAUGUUAAACCUUUGUUUUUGUAAUCUUUUAGUUGUACAAUGAGCGCAAACGAUGUCGAGCAUAGGCCCGUGCACAGCACGGGCACCGGCCAUCUGGUGUUUAUAUAUAUAUAUAUACCAAAUUCUUUCUUCA